AGUGAACGCUGGCGGUAGGCCUAACACAUGCAAGUCGAACGGCAGCACAGUAAGAGCUUGCUCUUACGGGUGGCGAGUGGCGGACGGGUGAGGAAUACAUCGGAAUCUACUUUUUCGUGGGGGAUAACGUAGGGAAACUUACGCUAAUACCGCAUACGACCUACGGGUGAAAGCAGGGGAUCUUCUGACCUUGCGCGAUUGAAUGAGCCGAUGUCGGAUUAGCUAGUUGGCGGGGUAAAGGCCCACCAAGGCGACGAUCCGUAGCUGGUCUGAGAGGAUGAUCAGCCACACUGGAACUGAGACACGGUCCAGACUCCUACGGGAGGCAGCAGUGGGGAAUAUUGGACAAUGGGCGCAAGCCUGAUCCUGCCGUACCGCGUGGGUGAAGAAGGCCUUCGGGUUGUAAAGCCCUUUUGUUGGGAAAGAAAAGCAGCAGGUUAAUACCCCGCUGUUCUGACGGUACCCAAAGAAUAAGCACCGGCUAACUUCGUG
rnacentral:rRNA from 1 species